rnacentral:rRNA from 1 species
GACGAACCGUGCGAACGUUGUUCGGAAUCACUGGGCUUAAAGGGCGCGUAGGCGGCAGUUCAAGUCCGGGGUGAAAUCCUCCAGCUCAACUGGAGAAGUGCCUUGGAUACUGAAUUGCUCGAGGGAGGUAGGGGUCGAGGGAACUUCUGGUGGAGCGGUGAAAUGCGUUGAUAUCAGAAGGAACGCCGGUGGCGAAAGCGCUCGACUGGAUCUCUUCUGACGCUGAGGCGCGAAAGCUAGGGGAGCAAACGGG